UUUUGACCUCGGAUCAGGUAGGG
rnacentral:rRNA from 2 species